UCCAAUCGAACUCGGAGAUAGCUGGUUCUCCCCGAAAUAGCUUUAGGGCUAGCCUGAGGUAGUAAGUAUAGGCGGUAGAGCACUGAUCGGGCUAGGGGCCGUAAAGGUUACCGAACCCUGUCAAACUCCGAAUGGAUAUACUGUAGAGCCUUGGAGUCAGACUACGAGUGAUAAGAUCCGUGGUCAAAAGGGAAACAGCCCAGACCACCAGCUAAGGUCCCCAAUGUCGUACUAAGUGGAAAAGGAUGUGGGGUUGCAUAAACAACCAGGAUGUUGGCUCAGAAGCAGCCACCAUUUAAAGAGUGCGUAAUAGCUCACUGGUCGAGAGACCCUGCGCCGAAGAUUCCCGGGGCUAAAGUACGAAACCGAAGCUGUGGCUGUAUACGUAAAGUAUACGGGGUAGGGGAGCGUUCCCAUAGGGUAGAAGUCGAACUGGAAGGUUCGGUGGACUUGUGGGAAGUGAGAAUGUUGGUAUGAGUAGCGAAAAGAAAGGUGAGAAUCCUUUCCACCGAAAGCAUAAGGAUUCCUGAGCAACGAUCGUCGUCUCAGGGUAAGUCGGGACCUAAUCCGAGGCAGAGAGCGUAGGAGAUGGACAACUGGUUGAUAUUCCAGUACCGGUAGUAAUUGUUUGAGCAAUGGAGUGACACAGAAGGGCAGGCAAGCAUGCGAAUGGAAGAGCAUGUGUAAGCGUGUAGGGUGGUGCAUAGGCAAAUCCGUGCACUGAAAGCCUGAGGCGUGAUGCGGAGUGAGCAGAGAUGCGAGCGAAGUUGUUGACCCCACACUGUCGAGAAAAGCUUCUAGUGAGAGAGCUACCGCCCGUACCGUAAACCGACACAGGUAUGCGGGGAGAGAAUCCUAAGGUGCGCGGGAGAACCCUCGUUAAGGAACUCGGCAAAAUGUACCCGUAACUUCGGGAUAAGGGUAGCCACUGUUGUGAAGUCCCACGCGGAUGGAGCAUAGAGUGGUCGCAGAGAAGAGGCCCAAGCGACUGUUUACCAUAAACACAGGUGCCUGCUAAAGCGAAAGCUGACGUAUAGGUGCUGACACCUGCCCAGUGCCGGAAGGUUAAGGAAGGAUGUUCGGAUUAGUCCAAAGCAUUCGACUGAAGCCCCGGUGAACGGCGGCCGUAACUAUAACGGUCCUAAGGUAGCGAAAUUCCUUGUCGGGUAAG
rnacentral:rRNA from 1 species